rnacentral:rRNA from 1 species
AAAAUGACUCUCGGCAACGGAUAUCUAGGCUCUCGCAUCGAUGAAGAACGUAGCAAACUGCGACACUUGGUGUGAAUUGCAGAAUCCCGUGAACCAUCGAGUUUUUGAACGCAAGUUGCGCCCGAAGUCAGCUAGGCCAAGGGCACGUCUGCCUGGGCGUCACG